rnacentral:rRNA from 1 species
UACGUAGGGGGCAAGCGUUGUCCGGAAUCAUUGGGCGUAAAGCGCGUGUAGGCGGCUUGGUAAGUCUGCUCUGAAAGCCCGGGGCUCAACCCCGGGAGGCGGGUGGAUACUGUCAAGCUCGAGUCCGGAAGAGGAGUGUGGAAUUCCCGGUGUAGCAGUGAAAUGCGUAGAGAUCGGGAGGAACAUCUGUGGCGAAGGCGACUGCCUGGACCAGCACUGACACUGAGGCACGAAAGCGUGGGGAGCAAACAGG